UACGGAGGGGGCUAGCGUUGUUCGGAAUCACUGGGCGUAAAGCGCGCGUAGGCGGAUUGAUUAGUUGGGGGUGAAAUCCCGGGGCUCAACCUCGGAACUGCCUUCAAUACUGUCAGUCUUGAGUUCGUGAGAGGUAAGUGGAAUUCCGAGUGUAGAGGUGAAAUUCGUAGAUAUUCGGAAGAACACCAGUGGCGAAGGCGACUUACUGGCACGAUACUGACGCUGAGGUGCGAAAGCGUGGGGAGCAAACAGG
rnacentral:rRNA from 1 species